GACGAACCGAGCGAACGUUGUUCGGAAUCACUGGGCUUAAAGGGUGCGUAGGCGGCGCAGUAAGUUGGGUGUGAAAUCCCUCGGCUUAACCGAGGAAUUGCGCCCAAAACUACUGUGCUCGAGGGAGAUAGAGGUGAGCGGAACUUAGGGUGGAGCGGUGAAAUGCGUUGAUAUCCUAAGGAACACCGGUGGCGAAAGCGGCUCACUGGAUCUCUUCUGACGCUGAGGCACGAAAGCUAGGGUAGCAAACGGG
rnacentral:rRNA from 1 species